rnacentral:rRNA from 1 species
AGAGUUUGAUCCUGGCUCAGGAUGAACGCUAGCGGCAGGCCUAACACAUGCAAGUCGAGGGGUAGCAGGAUUAAGCUUGCUUAAUUGCUGACGACCGGCGCACGGGUGCGUAACGCGUAUGCAACCUACCUUAUACUGGGGUAUAGCCCGGAGAAAUUCGGAUUAAUCCCCCAUAGUACUGUUUGAUCGCAUGGUUGAACAGUUAAAGCAUUGCGGUAUAAGAUGGGCAUGCGUCCUAUUAGCUAGAUGGUGAGGUAACGGCUCACCAUGGCUACGAUAGGUAGGGGGCCUGAGAGGGUGGUCCCCCACACUGGUACUGAGACACGGACCAGACUCCUACGGGAGGCAGCAGUGAGGAAUAUUGGUCAAUGGGCGCAAGCCUGAACCAGCCAUGCCGCGUGCAGGAAGAAUGCCCUAUGGGUUGUAAACUGCUUUUAUUUGGGAAUAAACCUCUUUACGUGUAGAGAGCU